AACGAACGCUGGCGGCAGGCUUAACACAUGCAAGUCGAACGAGAUCUUCGGAUCUAGUGGCAGACGGGUGAGGAACACGUGGGAACAUCCCUUCCAGUUCGGAAUAACGUUGGGAAACUAACGCUAAUACCGGAUACGUCCUUCGGGAGAAGGAUUUAUCGCUGAAAGAUUGGCCCGCGUCUGAUUAGCUAGUUGGUGAGGUAAUGGCUCACCAAGGCUACGAUCAGUAGCUGAUCUGAGAGGAUGAUCAGCCACAUUGGGACUGAGACACGGCCCAAACUCCUACGGGAGGCAGCAGUGGGGAAUAUUGGACAAUGGGCGCAAGCCUGAUCCAGCCAUGCCGCGUGAGUGAUGAAGGCCUUCGGGUUGUAAAGCUCUUUUAUCCGGGAAGAUAAUGACUGUACCGGAAGAAUAAGCCCCGGCAAACUUCGUGCCAGCCGCCGCCGUAA
rnacentral:rRNA from 1 species